rnacentral:lncRNA from 1 species
AACACAUACUUUAGCAGUGUUAGAAAACAGCAUAACUGGUAAGAUUGUAAAAGCCUGAGUACCAACACGUCAAGGCACAUUUUCUGAAGGAUUAGGGGUAACGUUUUGUGCCCGUCACCUUUCUCUGCCUUGGGAUGGGAAUCGGAGCAGAUUCUAUGGUUUUUCUGCUCACUCUAACAUAACCACGGUUCUGAGGUCUCUUUAAGUUAUACAACAUGAUUUCAUUUCUAUUAUUGAAACAAAUCUAGCCAAAAUCAUUAUAUAAAAUUUCAACCUUCAAUCCUCAUGCAAAGGUCAGCUCUCUCCUUGCUGAAGCCAUCAGCACCCCGCACUAGGGCAGAUGGUCAAAGGCUGCCAGCAUUUGAGGGGAGCAUGUGGGGGUCUGCUCUCUCCCUGUCUCCCAAAUAGUCAGCUGUGAUUGACCCCACACAGGCCAAAGCCCUGAGGCAAGAGAGGAAGAGGGUGGGCUGUUCUCCUUGACUGGGUGGUCCUGAGCCCCAUGGCUCUGGCAAGGGAGUGAGUUCACCCUCUCUCUUCUUAACCCCCUAUUCCUGAGCAUCUCUAUUUGAUAAGGCUCUCCCAUUUCUGCUUUCCAUCAGAUCGCCUGACCUUGAGGGAGCAUGGAGAGUCCACCGUCUUGGGUGCGGUUUGCUGGUCGCACAGGCUUUCUCUCCAGGCUUUCCCAGGGUGCCCAGCACCUGCCCUCUGCCCUGUGCAGUCUCCACUGCUGGUGAACCUAAAAAACCUUUAAAAUGGAGGUGGGGAAGAUGUUGUGGACGUUCUUGGGCUCCGUGCUCCUUGCCCUCAUCUCAGCAGACGUACGAUACUCCCUGGAAAGUGCCCUUCUUCUUGCUCUGGUGACACCUGCAUCUUAGCAUCACUUCUGGGAUCCUGAAAGAAAAACCAAGGAAGGGUAAAAAAAGGAGUAGGGGAAAG